UAGGGAAUAUUGGGCAAUGGGGGCAACCCUGAUCCAGCCAUGCCGCGUGAGUGAAGAAGGCCCUCGGGUUGUAAAGCUCUUUUGUCCGGAAAGAAAAGCUUCGGGUUAAUACCCCGGGGUUCUGACGGUACCGGAAGAAUAAGCACCGGCUAACUUCGUGCCAGCAGCCGCGGUAAUACGAAGGGUGCAAGCGUUACUCGGAAUUACUGGGCGUAAAGCGUGCGUAGGUGGUUGUUUAAGUCUGAUGUGAAAGCCCUGGGCUCAACCUGGGAAUGGCAUUGGAAACUGGGCAGCUAGAGUGCGGUAGAGGGUAGUGGAAUUCCCGGUGUAGCGGUGAAAUGCGUAGAGAUCGGGAGGAACAGCUGUGGCGAAGGCGACUGCCUGGACCAGCACUGACACUGAGGCACGAAAGCGUGGGGAGCAAACA
rnacentral:rRNA from 1 species